AACGAACGCUGGCGGCAUGCCUAACACAUGCAAGUCGAACGAGACCCCAACUUCGGUUGGACGUCUAGUGGCGCACGGGUGCGUAACGCGUGGGAAUCUGCCCUUAGGUUCGGAAUAACUCGGAGAAAUCCGAGCUAAUACCGGAUAAUGACGUAAGUCCAAAGAUUUAUCGCCUAAGGAUGAGCCCGCGUAGGAUUAGCUUGUUGGUGAGGUAAAAGCUCACCAAGGCGACGAUCCUAGCUGGUCUGAGAGGAUGAUCAGCCACACUGGGACUGAGACACGGCCCAGACUCCUACGGGAGGGCAGCAGUGGGGAAUAUUGGACAAUGGGCGAAAGCCUGAUCCAGCAAUGCCGCGUGAGUGAUGAAGGCCUUAGGGUU
rnacentral:rRNA from 1 species